rnacentral:rRNA from 1 species
GGUAGUCCAUGCCCUAAACGAUGGAUACUAGAUAUCGGAGGAAUCAAAUCUUCCGGUGUCGAAGCUAACGCAUUAAGUAUCCCACCUGGGGAGUACGGUCGCAAGUCUGAAACUCAAAGAAAUUGACGGGGGCCCGCACAAGCGGUGGAGCAUGUGGUUCAAUUCGAUGGUACGCGAGGAACCUUACCUGGGCUUGACAUGGGGGUGACCGGCGCAGAGAUGUGCCUUUUUCGCAAGAAACACCCUACACAGGUGCUGCAUGGCUGUCGUCAGCUCGUGUCGUGAGAUGUUGGGUUAAGUCCCGCAACGAGCGCAACCCUUGUUCUGUGUUACCAGCAAGUAAUGUUGGGGACUCACAGAAGACUGCCUCAUUUUAAGAGGAGGAAGGUGGGGAUGACGUCAAGUCCUCAUGGCUCUUACGUCCAGGGCUACACACGUGCUACAAUGGUUGGUACAAAGAGUCGCAAUGCCGCGAGGUGGAGCUAAUCUCAAAAAGCCAAUCUCAGUUCGGAUUGGAGUCUGCAACUCGACUCCAUGAAGCUGGAAUCGCUAGUAAUCGCGCAUCAGCUACGGCGCGGUGAAUACGUUAUCGGGCCUUGUACACACCGCCCGUC